GUCGAAUUAGCUCAGAUGGGAGAGCGUUAGUCUGAAGCCAUUCAGGCAGUACAACUAAAGGUCAUGCGUUCGAUCCGCAUAUUCGACA